CCUACGGGGUGCAGCAGUGGGGAAUAUUGCACAAUGGGGGAAACCCUGAUGCGGCGACGCCGCGUGAGUGAAGAAGUAAUUCGUUAUGUAAAGCUCUAUCAGCAGGGAAGAAAAUGACGGUACCUGAGUAAGAAGCCCCGGCUAACUACGUGCCAGCAGCCGCGGUAAUACGUAGGGGGCAAGCGUUAUCCGGAUUUACUGGGUGGAAAGGGAGCGUAGACGGCAGUGCAAGUCUGGAGUGAAAGGCGGGGGCUCAACCCCCGGACUGCUCUGGAAACUGUACGGCUGGAGUGCAGGAGAGGUAAGUGGAAUUCCUAGUGUAGCGGUGAAAUGCGUAGAUAUUAGGAGGAACACCAGUGGCGAAGGCGGCUUACUGGACUGUAACUGACGUUGAGGCUCGAAAGCGUGGGGAGCAAACAGGAUUAGAUACCCCAGUAGUC
rnacentral:rRNA from 1 species